rnacentral:rRNA from 1 species
GGCGGCCUUAGCGCGGUGGUCCCACCUGACCCCAUGCCGAACUCAGAAGUGAAACGCCGUAGCGCCGAUGGUAGUGUGGGGUCUCCCCAUGUGAGAGUAGGGAACUGCCAGGCA